GUGUCUGGUGGGUAGUUUGACUGGGGCGGUCUCCUCCUAAAGAGUAACGGAGGAGCACGAAGGUUGGCUAAUCCUGGUCGGACAUCAGGAGGUUAGUGCAAUGGCAUAAGCCAGCUUGACUGCGAGCGUGACGGCGCGAGCAGGUGCGAAAGCAGGUCAUAGUGAUCCGGUGGUUCUGAAUGGAAGGGCCAUCGCUCAACGGAUAAAAGGUACUCCGGGGAUAACAGGCUGAUACCGCCCAAGAGUUCAUAUCGACGGCGGUGUUUGGCACCUCGAUGUCGGCUCAUCACAUCCUGGGGCUGAAGUAGGUCCCAAGGGUAUGGCUGUUCGCCAUUUAAAGUGGUACGCGAGCUGGGUUUAGAACGUCGUGAGACAGUUCGGUCCCUA
rnacentral:rRNA from 1 species